UGUUUCCAUACAUCAUAAAUGUUAAAAUUUAAUUCUUAAUUAAUAAAAUAUAUAAUUAAAUUUUAUAUAAAGUAAUCUGUUGAAUAGGUUACCAAUUUGAAUAGUCAAUAUGACAAUAUUGAAAAAAAAUAAAUAAUAUAUACCAAAUUUGUCAGCAUCCUAUAAAUAUUAAAAAUCUGAUUUACUUUGGUAACUUACCAAAUUAGAUAAUACUUAAUUUGUUAAGUAUUUAGCUUAAAAAAUUAUUGAAUUUAAAUUUAAUUUUUGAAGUUGGUAUUGUAAUGUAAAAUUUUAAUUUUGAAAUUUAUAUUAAACUUUUAAAUUUGAAUCUAAAUUGAACUUUUAAUCUUAAAGCCAAAUUUUAAUUUUUGAUUUAAAUUAAAAUUUUGAAUUGAAACUGAAAGUUUUAUUUUAAAUUUGUGUUUUAUAUUUAAAAAAAUUGAAUUUGAUUUAUAAUUAAGUUUUAAAUGUUGAAUUUAAAUUUACAAUUUGGUUGUAAUUUGAAAUCCAACUAUUGUUGUAGGCAUUUGAAAAGGUCACAGUAUUUUUAGUUGGAUAAAACUGGUUUUGUAGACCCAAAAAUUUUACAAAGACCAAAAUACUCUUUAAAUAGGUACCUGGUGAAUUGUGUCUAUGCUUCAAUAGUAGGUCAUCUCUAGAGUCAUAUUAAAUCUAAACCAUCUAUUAAGAAAAAUAAAUGGUCAAGAUUUAUAUGAUGUAUUGAAGCAUUACUUAUCUGAAAAAUAUGAGAAGUUAAUAUACGAAAGAUGUACUGUAACUAACAAUUGAAUUUACGCACGGACCAUUCUUAGCACAAAUGGCAAAAAAUUAGAUAAUUAGUAUUCGAAAUCUCAAAUUUAAAUCUUAGUGGAUUUAUAUUUCUGGCUCAAUUUAUUUUUUUAAAAAAUAAAUAAAUAAUAGCAUGUUAUCUUUCUCUUUAAAAAAAUUAAUAAAUUUAAAUAUCUUAGGUCGAUU
rnacentral:lncRNA from 1 species